rnacentral:misc_RNA from 1 species
GGAAUCUUAAUGUAUUGUUCAUUCAUACGUACUUCAUUUUAUUUCAUUUAUGGGCCAGAGUAAACACAAGCUAUACCUAGGAUGUAGUUUAAGACUUUCAUCGGGUUUGCUGUGCAAUGAUCAGGAAUGACCUAAUGUCAUUACCUGAAUCUAGCUCACCUCUUGAUUAUCCUAUCCUAACACCUUCGGUAUCAUUCAUUUCUUUAUAUGAUUCAUUUGAGGCUGGCCUCAUUCAUUCAUUGGGAACUUUAACUUUAACCGACAUAGAUCAUGUGAGCAUCAUGAAAUCCAGUGUCUUCCCCACACCGAAAAGAGGUGGAAUCACUGUCCAAGGUGACCCAAAACAUGCUAGCGUACAUGGGAAUU